rnacentral:rRNA from 1 species
GACGAACGCUGGCGGCGUGCCUAACACAUGCAAGUCGAGCGGAGAUAAGCGGAUGGUAACUGAAGUUUGUCUUAGCGGCGGACGGGUGAGUAACACGUGGGCAACCUGCCUUGGAGUGGGGGAGUAACACCGGGAAAGUCGGUGCUAAUACCGCAUAACAUACACAUACUGCAUGGUGAGUGUAUCAAAGGAGCAAUCCGCUUUAAGAUGGGCCCGCGGCUGAUUAGCUAGUUGGUAAGGUAACGGCUUACCAAGGCGACGAUCAGUAGCCGACCUGAGAGGGUGACCGGCCACACUGGAACUGAGACACGGUCCAGACUCCUACGGGAGGCAGCAGUGGGGAAUAUUGCGCAAUGGGGGAAACCCUGACGCAGCAACGCCGCGUGGAGGAAGAAGGUCUUCGGAUUGUAAACUCCUGUCUUCUGGGACGAAGUAUGACGGUACCAGAGGAGGAAGCCACGGCUAACUACGUGCCAGCAGCCGCGGUAAAACGUCUA